CCCUCUUCCUCACUCCUCACUCCUUAGUCCUUACCCGUAAUGACAAGUUUACUGUGUUCUCACUCUCCACGCAAGGCAUAAUCACCAUUUGUUUGUUUUAGCCUGACAAACCAUCUCUCCCUCUCUCUCUGCUCAACCAACAGAGAGCCCAUCUCUAUUAAUUUGUUCGUUCGUAUACUCUUCGUCGAUCCAUUCGGAAUUGGCUUGAGCAUUGAAGAUUUUCAAAGUUCAAGUUCCGUUUAAUGGUUGCUCAAGUGAUGGGAUGGGAGCUCAGAAGAGCAUCCAUGCUGGCAAAGCCAAGAUAGAUGUGAACGUUGAUUUCACUCACAAGCUAUGUGCAGCGUUGAUGCUUCCUCCUCUCAGGGACAAUGGAAAUCCGCUUUCAUUGAUUAUUGGGAGUCUUUGCAUCAAACACCCCAAUUUGUUUGGCGGAAGUGAGAAGCUUGACGUUUCCUGGGAUAAGGGGCUUUAUGAUUCCAAUAUCUUGAUAGCUUAUAGGAGGCCAAGACCCGAAUGGCUGGCUCAACAGUCCUUUGUCAUUCAGCAUUCAAUUUCACCCGAGAUUGGGGUCCAUGGCCUGCCCAUUGACAACUUUUCUCGCUCGGGAAGUGGUGGUGUCAAUCUGUGCCGUUUCUCGGCAGGGGUUGAUCUGAAUGAGCCCGCAAGUUCCAAUUGGAGCAGCACAACCAGCAUAAAGUUUGAGCAUGUACGUCCAAUCAAUGACGAUGGUCGUUCCAUAAGCAGAGACAUUGAUGGGUUUCCUGUGACUUGCAGCGGUGGUCCUCAUGAUAAUAUGGUGGUUCUGAAGCAGGAGUCCCAUUAUGCCAAGGCAAAUGAGAGCAGUUUCUCUCAAUUGAGUCUUCAAAUAGAACAAGGAAUGCCUGUUCUAUCUAGGUGGCUAAUUUUCAACCGAUUCAAAUUUGUUGCAUCAAAGGGACUUAAAGUAGGGCCUGCAUUUUUCUUGACUAGCCUGACAGGUGGUUCCAUUGUGGGGGACAUGGCUCCUUAUCAAGCAUUUGCAAUUGGGGGCCUUGGUAGCGUUCGUGGUUAUGGAGAAGGUGCAGUUGGGUCUGGGAGAUCAUGUCUGGUUGUGAACAAUGAACUCACAUUCCCUUUGCAGAUGUCAUGAGCCUGAGGUCUUGAAGUUAGACUUUGAAACGUAUACAAAAUGAGCGUCUAGAUCCAACAAAGCCCAAUGAAUGGGGGACCCUACUAGUGAUCAGAUCUGUCAAGAUACCAGGGGGCCGUUGAACUUUCAUCCUUGAACAGUUGAACCAUAUCAUCCAUGGGUUGUUUAAUUUUUAUAUGUUUAUUGUAUUUAGCCUAAUUGAAUAAGAGCUUUUAGAAAUCAUUUAUUGGUUUAGGAAGGGAACUUUUCAAAAUUAAAUUACAACAGAGACACACUUCUCUUGUUCUAUAUGGCAAAUAUUGACAGUUUGAUAAAUGCAAAUUUCUUUUGCAAGUGGAAAAUCAAUAUUUAGACCUGUACAAGAUUUGUAGAAUUUGCUUUUGGCCACUGGAGCAAAGGUCAAGUAAUUUACACCGUAUAUCUAUGCAUGGCCCCUUACAACCAAUCUAGCUUUGUACCUCUCAAUAGGCCCAUUGGAAUUAUACUUGAUUGUCUAGACCCUAGUGUAUAGGUGGGCCUCACCUACAGAAGCAUUUUCUUGACCUCUUUUAUAAAGGAGAGAAAAAAUCUUUUUGAGAUGUACAAAAGCAGGAAUCUUUUGGACAGUUUUGGAAGAAAGAAAUGCAAGAACCUUCAGGGAAACCAUCCAAUCAUAGGAAGCCUUAAUUGAAAACAUUGAUGUAAAGGUGGCCCAUUGGGUGAAAACCUUCAAGAUCUAUGCACCAUUCUUGACAAAUAACAUUAUUAGAGAAUGGCAAGUCAUCCCUUUGUCAUCCACAGCUCAAAGCAUCAAAGCAUCAAAGCAUCAAAGCAUCAUAGCCACACUUUAGUCCCCCUCCUCCCAAUACUCUCAAGCUGUAUUUCAUGGCUGUAGUUUGGGGAACUAAGGAGCUUCAGGUAUUGGAGGAGUAUAUAGGGAUGCCAAUAGGUUCAUAAUCACAAUUUACUCUGUACCCAUUGGAGUGGUUGGAUGGUUUCAGAAAAAUAGCCUAGGGCCUUAGCAAUCCCUACAUAUGAUUAGAGAAGUAAGGUACCUGGCUAGGCAAUCAAGCAUGAGCUUCUUCUGCAUUCAAUGAUCAGCAAUCAGGCUAGCUGAUGAGCUAGCCAAACAAGGAGCACAAAGGGAUCAGCUGUUUUGGGGGAAUGUCCCCCCUAGUUAUUUAUGGGGGACAAAGGGGAUGGACAGCAGCAGGGGAUGGCCCACACUCAAAGGGGUGCUAGGCACACUUUUAUGUACAACAUUUUUUUAUAAUCAAUAAAAUCUUUAAGUUAUCCAUAAAAAGGGGAAUUGUCAGGUAGUAAUUGAUGGAUGGUCUCAACAAGGGAAGGUCCUUGUGCUCUCAUAUUUGCUCUAAGAGAGGCAAAAUCCAUUGCUACCCUUCUGAACACCUUGUUCAGGUGGGUCCUUGAUCUAUAAAUGCUUUGACAGAUUCACUUGCCAUUGUUGGGGUUGGGAGACUAGGUCUUUGUUUUGGGGCACCAAACCUUGGGGCCAGAACAUCUAUCAUGAAUGUAUUUUUUGUAUUUUUUCUUGUUUUUAUCUUGUAUCACACUACGCUCUUUUCCCUGCUAUUAGGCCUCCCUAGUAGUAGGGGUCAACCUCUUUUCUACUUGAUAAAAAUUUCUGACUGUUAAUUAUCAAGAAGAAAGGGAAGAAAGAAAAUAAGUGUUACAAAUACUGAAAGGAUGCCAUUUUACAGUAAACAUUUUGAUUAAAUGCAUGCAUUUUUAGGGUACUGUGUACCAGGUUUGGUCCUAUGGGACUCUGGGUUUCUUAAGGGUACUUUUCUUGUUACAAACAUGGUUCAAAGUAUUGAUACGCUUCUGUGUAUCGGCAGAGGCGUAUUGGUACUUAGAUACACACAGAAAUAUUUUUUUUAGUUUCUUUUUUUUUUUCAAAAUUUGG